GAUGAAGAACGCAGUGAAAUGCGAUACGUAAUGUGAAUUGCAGAAUUCAGUGAAUCAUCGAGUCUUUGAACGCACAUUGCGCCCCCUGGUAUUCCGGGGGGCAUGCCUGUCCGAGCGUCAUUGCUGCCCUCAAGCACGGCUUGUGUGUUGGGCUCCGUCCCCCCGGGGACGGGCCCGAAAGGCAGCGGCGGCACCGAGUCCGGUCCUCGAGCGUAUGGGGCUUUGUCACCCGCUCUGUAGGCCCGGCCGGCGCCAGCCGACAACCCAUCAUCCUUUUCAGGUUGACCUCGGAUCAGGUAGGGAUACCCGCUGAACUUAAGCAUAUCAAUAAGCGGAGGA
rnacentral:misc_RNA from 1 species